rnacentral:rRNA from 1 species
AACGCUGGCGGGAUGCAUAACACAUGCAAGUCGAGCGGUGAGGCCCUUCGGGGUACACGAGCGGCGAACGGCUGAGUAACACGUUGGUAUCUGCCCCAGAUUCAGGAAUAAGCCCGAGAAAUCGGGUCUAAUGCCGGAUAUCCCGACCUGUCGGGAAAGAUUUAUCGAUCUGGGAGGAGCCUGCGGCGUAUCAGUUUGUUGGUGAGGUAACGGCUCACCAAGACUUUGACGCGUACCUGGUGUGAGAGCACGACCAGGCAGAGUGGGACUGAGACACGGCCCACACUCCUACGGGAGGCAGCAGUGAGGAAUUUUCCGCAAUGGGCGAAAGCCUGACGGAGCAAUCCCGCGUGGAGGAUGACACCUUUCGGGGCGUAAACUCCUUUUCUGAGGGAAGAAGUUCUGACGGUACCUCAGGAAUAAGCGACGGCUAACUACGUGCCAGCAGCCGCGGUAAUACGUAGGUCGCAAGCGUUAUCCGGAAUCAUUGGGCGUAAAGCGUUCGAAGGCGGACAAGAGGGUCUGAUAUUAAAUACCUGCGGCUCAACCGAGGUGUCGUAUCGGAAACCGCUUGUCUAGAGGGAGACAGAGGCAACUAGAAUUCCCAUUGUAGGGGUAAAAUCCGUAGAUAAUGGGAGGAAUACCGAAAGCGAAGGCAGGUUGCUGGGUCUUUCCUGACGCUGUGCGAACGAAAGCGUGGGGAGCGAAAGGGAUUAGAUACCCCUGUAGUCCACGCCGUANACGAUGAACACUCGGUGUACGACGGUUCAAUCCCGUUGUGUGCCCAAGCUAACGCGUUAAGUGUUCCGCCUGUGGAGUACGGCCGCAAGGUUAAAACCUUAAGGAAUAGACGGGGAUCCACACAAGCGGUGGAGCAUCUGGUUU